rnacentral:rRNA from 1 species
AACUAACGCUGGCGGCGUGCCUAACACAUGCAGGUCGUACGAGAAAGUUGGCUUCGGCCGAUGAGUAAAGUGGCGCACGGGUGAGUAAUGCGUGGAUAAUCUGCCCUUUAGUUGGGAAUAACGUACCGAAAGGUGCGCUAAUACCUGAUAAUACUGCAUAACUACUGUUGUGUAGUCAAAGAAGGCCUCUGUUUACAAGCUUUUGCUGAAGGAUGAGUCCGCGUACCAUUAGCUGGUUGGUGGGGUAAUGGCCUACCAAGGCUACGAUGGUUAGCUGGUCUGAGAGGAUGAUCAGCCACACUGGAACUGAGACACGGUCCAGACUCCUACGGGAGGCAGCAGUGAGGAAUAUUGCGCAAUGGGGGCAACCCUGACGCAGCAACGCCGCGUGAGUGAGGAAGGUUUUCGGACUGUAAAGCUCUGUCGAGCGGGAAGAAGUGUACCAUGGCUAAUAUCCAUGAUAUUUGACGGUACCGCUAGAGG